rnacentral:pre_miRNA from 1 species
UCUAGAACUCGAGAUAUGGUCUGAACACUGAACAGUGUCUGGGCUAAAUGACAAAUUUCGACAUCUCUUUUGUUGCUAUAAUUUGUGCUUGAAAACGGAUGUUUUGAAUCUUGGACUCUUCAUAAAAGUUUUAGGCAUGUGUCUUAGCUUUCCAUC